GACGUAGGGGGCGAGCGUUGUCCGGAUUUAUUGGGCGUAAAGCGCGUGUAGGCGGUCCGGUAAGUCCGCUGUGAAAGUCGAGGGCUCAACCCUCGAAUGCCGGUGGAUACUGUCGGGCUUGAGUACGGGAGAGGCGAGUGGAAUUCCUGGUGUAGCGGUGAAAUGCGCAGAUAUCAGGAGGAACACCGAUUGCGAAGGCAGCUCGCUGGAACGUUACUGACGCUGAGACGCGAAAGCGUGGGGAGCAAACAGG
rnacentral:rRNA from 1 species